GACGAACGCUGGCGGCGUGCCUAAUACAUGCAAGUAGAACGCACAGUUUAUACCGUAGCUUGCUACACCAUAAACUGUGAGUUGCGAACGGGUGAGUAACGCGUAGGUAACCUGCCUGGUAGCGGGGAUAAACUAUGGGAAACAUAGCUAAUACCCGCUUAAUAUUAAUAUUUCAUUAUUAAUUGUUGGAAAAUUCAAAUGCAUUACCUACAGAAUGACCUGCGUUGUAUUUGCUAGUAGGUGAGGUAACGGCUCACCUAGGCGACGAUACAUAGCCGACCUGAGAGGGUGAUCGGCCACACUGGGACUGAGACACGGCCCAGACUCCUACGGGAGGCAGCAGUAGGGAAUCUUCGGCAAUGGACGAAAGUCUGACCGAGCAACGCCGCGUGAGUGAAGAAGGUUUUCGGAUCGUAAAGCUCUGUUGUAAGAGAAGAACGGGUGUGAGAGUGGAAAGUUCACACUGUGACGGUAUCUUACCAGAAAGGGACGGCUAACUACGUG
rnacentral:rRNA from 1 species